UAUAUUUUGGUGUAUGGUGCAUGAAAGUUUUUGAUACUUUAGGUAAUAGUUUAAUUCUAUUAAAUAUAA
rnacentral:tRNA from 1 species